GGGUGCUCCGGUGAGCGCGAAAAAGACAUCGUCAAGGUCGGGUGCUGCGGUGGUGACCUCGGCCGGUUCGACUCCGGCUGCCGCCA
rnacentral:tRNA from 1 species